CAAAGCACCUUUUCCUUCAAGAUUAAAAAAAGAGAUUAAGAAGACACCAGUCCAAUUUUCUGUUUUCAUUUUAUUGAAGUGUUGCGUCGCCCGCGUGGCGCAGAAUAAUAGAGCUUAUGCUCUAGAGUCGCGAAGGAAGGAGUGAAUCCUUACGUCGCGGGUUCGAAUCCCACUGAGGGACGUUGACACCGGUCCUUCGGAUGAGACCGUAUAAACCAAGGUCCCGUGUCGCAGUAGGUGCUGGCACGAAAAAGAUCCCUCCCUGCUCAAUGGCCUGAGAGCCGAGUAUAGGACAAAUUUUGCAGCUCUCCACCGACGAGUUGUGGCGACUCAAUAUGAGUGAAAAAUUCUCGAAAGGGACGUUAAUCAAUAUACAAUCAAUCAAUCAAUCAUUGAAGUGUUACAGUACGUAAAAUAAGUAAAAUUUACACUUCCAAAGGAUUAGUGCCUCAAUAUAAUUUGUAACUCAAUAUUAAAAAAGGACUUUUAUGUUAAAGCAUGCGAGUCUGGAUGGUAUCCGUUUGCAGGUCAUUGUUAUCACCUGAAUGAAACAAGAGUAACAUGGAAAGCUGCAAAGACCCAGUGUACAAAGCAAAACUCUUACUUAGUAGAGAUGACAUCAGCCAAGGAGAGCAAAUGGAUAUCAGAAAUGUUUUUGUCAAAAAAUGGAAAUGAGAACAAUCAUCUUGUAGACUCUACAUGGAUAGGAGCGAAAUGGGAAAACGAAAUACUUACAUGGGACCACAGCACCGAACCGGUCAUUCUUCAGUCAAUGUCAUGGGUAGUGAACAAACUUAAUGAAAUUGGUGUUUGUGUGUUGAUGACAUAUAGAGGGAAAUGGUUUGAUUUUAGCUGCAACUGGCACGAGCGCCUGUACGCCUUUGUCUGUGAAAAAAUGUUGUA